AUGGAAAUUGAUUUUUCAUUUUUUUUUGGACUGCAAGGCACUGAUGAUUGCAACUCUCAUGUUUUACAAACAGGUGACCCAGCACCGCCUGAUCCCCCAAACCAAAGCCAGAUCCAAGCCCCAACCGACCUGGUUUCACUGAUAAGAGCCUCUAACCCUCCGGGUGGUCUCUAUGUCGUUUACCCGGCAGUGAUGUUCAUGUCAUCUGAGAAGAGGAGAUUUCAGGGGCUGACUUGGACUUCGCAGAUGCCUUUCAUGGUGGAGGAAAUCAUGAGCCAGCACCACCUGACGCACCCAAACCAAAGCCAAGUCCAAACCCCAAGCAGCCUGAUUCCACUGGUAAGAGCCUGUAACCCUGUGGGUCAUCUGUAUGUUGUUUACAGGACAGUGAUGUCCAUGGCAGCUGGGAGGAGAUUUCACGUGAAACCUGUGCUCACUCUUCACUCCUUGUACAAGGAAAUUCCAGUGUUGAAGUGGCGAAAAACCUAGUUUUCAACUAUAUGAUUUUUAUUUGGAUUACAUUUUUAGUGUCCUGAUUUUACUUCUAAGAUUUUAAGAUACAAGUCAAAAAUCUUAAAUAGGAUCUUAAAUUCUGAGAUUUUUUGGAUUCCACCUCUAAAAAGUUGAAUGCCAGGUUUUAAACAUAGACAUGAUAUGAAGGAAGGGAUCUUUGCAUUCCCAGUGGAGAAGUGAGUGCUUUUUGAAUAAUUAGAUAGUUACUGAAUUUUUUUUUUUGUUUACACGCUUGUUUAACUUGUAACACAGAAAAAUAUAGUGUCCAAAUCCUGUUGACAUUUUGAUAGUUAUGUGCUAGUAACGUGAUUUUUGGCAUAUUCAUAUUUCUUAAUGACUUUUUCAUGUCAUUUAAGUCUUUCUAACAUGACUUUUACUGUCAAUUUUAUAUUUUUAUUUGUUUCACACAUAAUUAUAUACUUCAGUAUUUAAUUUCAAACAUGUUAUGUGUUUUCUAACAUUUUAGAAUUACGGAUUUCAAAGCCAAUUUGAAUCAACUUUAUGCACUUGUUUUUAUUCCUUUGAAUCAAUUUCUAGAAUGCAAAUUGUUUAGAUCAAUGUGUACGAGUACUUCUAUAGCUUUUGACCUGGUUCUGAAAUUGCCCCAGAAUUAUAUGAAUUUAUUUUGAUGCCAGGGAUAUGUGCAGAUGUCCCUUUCUUCCCACCGUCAUUACUGCUGGUGAUCACCUAGAAAACCCUUGUCGUGUACUAUCACAUGGAACAUUAAUCUUUGCCUAGCUUCAGUUCUUUACUUCUGUAAUUAAAAAAAAAAAAUAGUACAUCAAUUGGCCAUAUAUACUACUUUUUUUUUUUUUGAGACAGAGUCUCGCUCUGUCGCCAGGCUGGAGUUCAGGGGCACCAUCUUGGCUCACUGCAACCUUUGCCUCCCAGGUUCAAGCAGUUCUCCUGCCUCAGCCUCCCAAGUAGCUGGGACUACAGUAGGUGCACACCAUCGUGCCCAGCUAAUUUUUUUUUUUGUAUUUAGUAGAGACGGGGUUUCACCAGGUUGCCCAGGCUGGUCUCCUGAGCUCAGGCAAUCUACCCGCCUCGGCCUCCCAAAGUGCUAGGAUUGCAGGCAAGAGCCACUGUGCCCAGCCUACUUCUUCUUUUAGGUAUUUGUUACUUUGCCUUUAUUCUUAUCUCCCGAUAUGUCCCUACUGUUUUAUAAGUGUUCUUCAUUUUUUUAUAGACAUUAAAUAUUGCCAACCAUUUACUAUGAAAAUGCUUUUUCAUCUUAUUUUUGCCAUUAGAUAGUUUAACAGUAUUUUUUGACAGGCAAGUCUUCAAAUUUUUAUUCAUGGUGUCUUAUAUUUGAGCGUUCUGAUUUUGGUGACUUUUUUUUUUCUGAGACAGAAUCUUGCUCUGUCGCCCAGGCUGGAAUGCAGUGGCAUGAUCUCGACUCACUGCAACCUCUGCCUCCUGGGUUCAAGCAAUUCUCCUGCCUCAGCUUCCCGAGCAGCUGGUACUGCAGGUGCCCACCACCACACCCAGCUAAUUUUUGUAUUUUUAAUGGAGACAGGAUUUCACCAUAUUGGCCAGGCUGGUCUCGAACUCCUAACCUCAUGAUCUACCUGUCUCAGCCUCCCAAAGUGCUGGGAUUACAGGCGUGAGCCACCACGCCCGGUUGACAUUUUUUCCUUUGAACCUCAGAACCAUUUUGUCAUUGCUCCCUUCCCUUUUGGGAAAAAUAAAACCUUUUUUUUUUUUUUGAAUUGUUUACAAGAAAGAGUUGACUUGUAGAGUGCCGACAUGCCUGCAAAAUUGAGAUUUUUCUUGAUAUUCGACGUACCUCUUUCCCCGAUGAUUUCUUUUAAUGCAGUUCUAAUUUUUUUCUUUUUUUUUUUUUCGUUUCUCUGGAUAUAUUUUUAUGCCCACUAUCUUUCUGUUUAUUGUUGUAACAUAGAAAGGAUUUAAUAUAUUUUUCCUUCCUGUAUCCUGAGCUAUGAUCCCUUAUUAAAUUUCUAUUUUUUUCUCAUUUCUUACCUUUCUAAGAAGACAAUCAUAUUAUUUGCACGUGAUUUUAAAAUAUUUUCAAUUUUCUGUGUUUAUAUGUUCUCUUCACAUUUUAUUUGUAUUUUUGUUGUAUUACCUUUGAUAGUAAACCCAGGACAGGUUUAAAUAUGAGUGAAGAGAGCAGAUAUUUUAAAUUCCUGACUUUAAAGUGAAAGCCCAAAGAUAUUAACCUUUAAAUAAAGUAAAUUGCCUUUUAAAAAAUGUACUCAUUUCAGGAAGGGUCUCUCUAUUCUGGUAUACUUUUUUCCCAAAAUAUAUAAUAUUAUUGGUUUUCAUACCAUGAGGUUUCUUACUUCUUUAUAUAUAUUUGUAUAAUCAUCUGGUUUUUAUUGAUUACUCGUCAAAACCAUAUAAGUUAUUGAUUACUCAUUGAAACUCUUAUGUAAGUGUAUUCUUACAUGGUUUUGGAAAAAUGUUGGAUUUGAUGUAGCCCUUCAUGUUUCUUUUACUUAAGCCACCUUAUUAUCACCUUUCAGUAUAAAAUUGUCUCCAACCUUAGUCGGGAUUUGAAAAGCUUAACACUAGAAGGCAACCUCUGAAACCACGGUGAAUUUUCACGUCGGUUUGUCCAGCACGUCUGGGUUGAGAGAGCCAUUUUUUAGACACCCUGUCGCCCAAAUCUGAUCACAAUCAUGUGUCCCCAUCUCUUAGGGCCUCUGUGGCGGAGGGUGUUGGUUACCUGGAGGGAGAUGAUGAUGGGAUGGGAAAUCAACAGGAGGGAAUCAUGUGUUGGCAGGGUUGGAGUUCCAACUCCGUCCAGCCAGCGCAGUUCAUUUAUAAAUUACUUUGUUUCUCCCUCUCCCUCUCUUUCCACCCCCGACUCUUGCUCUCAUCGUUUACUCUUUGCAUCUGAGAGAAGAGUGAUGUGAAAAUGAUCAGGAAUUUGCUUUUUCUUAUAAGGUCCUGGUCACAAUGAUACUUAGAAAACACUUAGAAACACAGGCCUGUGGUGUUUUCUCCAUCUGCUUCCAGGUCAUGUCUUCCUCAUUUCUCUCAGAACUUUGGUGGUAACAGCCUGUUUCCCUGGUUUAGGGGAUAACUUUGAUUUCAUAGAUGUUUCUUCGUGGUGAACGAAACACUGAGUAACUCUUUAAAGUCUCCUCUAUUGCCGAAUUGCUUAUAGUUUAUUUGUAUUUUUGGAGUGCUGUAGGAAGAGCAGUGAUGAAGGUUUGAGGCUUCUAGAUGCUUCCAUAUUAGUUGCCUGAGGCUUAGGCAGGGGACAUGUGGACCCCUGGGGGGACGUGACAGUUGAGAUGACAGCUGAGGAAUGAGGAUGACUUAUAUCCCAAGGAGUGGGCCAAAGGGAGUUUUGUGUAGCAAGUGUGGCAUGUNNNNNNNNNNNNNNNNNNNNNNNNNNNNNNNNNNNNNNNNNNNNNNNNNNACCCAGCUCUUCCGAGGUGACACCCUUCCUCAUCAGGCUCCCAGAUUCCAUCAGGUGUUCAAACCCCAUGUGACAGGUGAAAUACUGGUCCCCAGAGAUGCCCACAUUCUAACCCCUUGAUCGUGUAAAUGGGUGACCUUAUGCAACACAUGGGACUUCGCAGGUGGGAUUUCAUUAAGGAUCUUGACAUGGGAAGAUUAUUUAGGAUGAGCUGUGUAUUUGCAAUGGAAUCACAUGUUCCUUAUAAGAGUGAGGCCUGUAUCAGAGGAUGAAAGAGGUGUUCAUAUGUGGAAAGAGACAGAAAGAAAAGUGGAGAGAACCAUUGAAAAAAAGUAAUUGAAAGACUUUGGCACCCAGGUUACCAUGGCUGCCCCCAGCCCUUCAAAUUCUCCUAAAGCCUCAAAUGAUCUUUGCCUGGAAGAUGCACCAGCCCACUGGAUAGCUGAGAUGCAGCUGUUGGAGGGUGGAUCUAGCCUGUGAGGACCCAGUAACCUGGAUCCAAUACAUGACGAUAAGGAUUGAAUGAGUGGUCAUUUAUUGAUGAGUGAUUGCUGGUUUUCUUGGCUACCUGGGCCCUGGGUCACAGGGAUGGGAGGGCUGAGAUGAACCUGGAAAAAAGGCUUUUCAGCACAGAGUCCCAGAGAUUUUGAGUAUGUGGAUAGAAAAAAGCCAUUGUUCCUACACAUUCAGUGUCAGAAGUGAAGGAUGAGAAUGGUGUGCAUGUCAAAGGAAAAACAGCUUUUUCCCCCUGUACGUGAGGUCACAGCAAAUUUGCAAGAUUCAGUGCACGGUGAAAGAAGCAGGCAGCCCCUGACAUCCAGGGGCUGGCCUGGCUCCCACUGCCUGGCUUCAGGUUUCCUGUUGGUCAUAAGGAAUGUCACAGACAGGACAUUUUAAAGU
rnacentral:lncRNA from 10 species